rnacentral:rRNA from 1 species
CACGUAGUUAGCCGGGGCUUCUUGGUCAGGUACCGUCAUCUUCUUCCCUGCCGAUAGGGCUUUACGCGCCGAAACGCUCCUUCACCCACGCGGCGUCGCUGCAUCAGGGUUCCCCCCAUUGUGCAAUAUCCCCCACUGCUGCCUCCCGUAGGAGUCUGGGCCGUGUCUCAGUCCCAGUGUGGCCGUCCACCCUCUCAGGCCGGCUACUGAUCGUCGCCUUGGUAGGCCGUUACCCUGCCAACCAGCUAAUCAGACGCGGGCCCAUCCUGUACCACCGGGGUUUUCCGCGCCAUGCCAUGCGGCACGCCGCGCUUAUGCGGUAUUAGCACCUGUUUCCAGGUGUUAUCCCCCAGUACAGGGCAGGUUGCCCACGCGUUACUCACCCGUCCGCCACUCGCGCGGCGCCGCAGGGGCCGAGGCCCCUGCCGCACGCCGCGCCCGUUCGACUUGCAUGUGUUAGGCACGCCGCCAGCGUUCAUCCUGAGCCAGGAUCAAACUCU